AAGUUCGUUCUAACAUAUUGAUACUGGAACAUGACAAUUGCGUCUAUACUGAAUAUUCAGCCAAAACAUAUCUGUAGUGCAUUAUAUUUCACAAAUCUGAUGAUACGUGUACAAGGGAUAAAUGAUCAGAUGAUUUAGUUUCAUAGAAAUUGUGAAGAUAUUGACUUUUUUGUCGCCCAUGAGGCUCCGAGGUCCCCUAUUGCAUUAUGUGCUUGCUCGAAAAACACGCUUCACUGCGCCAAGACCAUAAUUGCAAAGAACGAGUUUGAAUUUGAAGCACUCUGUCUGCCAAUGAUGAUAUUUCAAUAUUUGUGAAAAAUUCUCAAAGUGAACAUUAAUUAAACAAACAUAAAGAAUCAAAGCAUUUAUAUAAAUACUUUAAAUUAUACAGCAGUAUUUAUACUUUAAGUUCAAAAGCAAAAUUUCUAAAAUUAUGAAAUGCUGAUACAUGUAUACCCCGACCACCGUUCAUUUUGUUUUUUUUUUUUUUUGAAUCUCUAUUGCAAUGUCAAUACAUUAUUCUUGGUUAAAGGUCCUCGCUUUAAAGUUUUUCACUCCCAGCUUUUAUGUUUAACAUUCCAUCUACUUAUAAUACGAUUUUUGGUCACGUAAUGAUUGUUUAAAUUUUUAGGUAUUACAAUUCUAGCCAUUGGAAUCACUCUGAUCAUUAUAUCCGGGUUAUUCUUCUUAGUCAGCUCCGUCAUUCUAUGGAAAGCCAGGAAUAUGACAAAGAGCGCAAAAAAUACAAUGAUCAGGAGCACCUAUGACUCGGUAAAUAUAAAUGCGGUAGUGUCGUCCAACUACUCUCCACUUGAAUUUUCAACAACAACAACAACGCCUCAUUCGUCGA